rnacentral:rRNA from 1 species
UUGAACGCUGGCGGCAUGCCUUACACAUGCAAGUCGAACGGCAGCACGGGUGCUUGCACCUGGUGGCGAGUGGCGAACGGGUGAGUAAUACAUCGGAACAUGUCCUGUAGUGGGGGAUAGCCCGGCGAAAGCCGGAUUAAUACCGCAUACGAUCUACGGAUGAAAGCGGGGGACCUUCGGGCCUCGCGCUAUAGGGUUGGCCGAUGGCUGAUUAGCUAGUUGGUGGGGUAAAGGCCUACCAAGGCGACGAUCAGUAGCUGGUCUGAGAGGACGACCAGCCACACUGGGACUGAGACACGGCCCAGACUCCUACGGGAGGCAGCAGUGGGGAAUUUUGGACAAUGGGCGAAAGCCUGAUCCAGCAAUGCCGCGUGUGUGAAGAAGGCCUUCGGGUUGUAAAGCACUUUUGUCCGGAAAGAAAUCCUUGGCUCUAAUACAGUCGGGGGAUGACGGUACCGGAAGAAUAAGCACCGGCUAACUACGUGCCAGCAGCCGCGGUAAUACGUAGGGUGCGAGCGUUAAUCGGAAUUACUGGGCGUAAAGCGUGCGCAGGCGGUUUGCUAAGACCGAUGUGAAAUCCCCGGGCUCAACCUGGGGAACUGCAUUGGUGACUGGCAGGCUAGAGUAUGGCAGAGGGGGGUAGAAUUCCACGUGUAGCAGUGAAAUGCGUAGAGAUGUGGAGGAAUACCGAUGGCGAAGGCAGCCCCCUGGGCCAAUACUGACGCUCAUGCACGAAAGCGUGGGGGAGCAAACAGGAUUAGAUACCCUGGUAGUCCACGCCCUAAACGAUGUCAACUAGUUGUUGGGGAUUCAUUUCCUUAGUAACGUAGCUAACGCGUGAAGUUGACCGCCUGGGGAGUACGGUCGCAAGAUUAAAACUCAAAGGAAUUGACGGGGACCCGCACAAGCGGUGGAUGAUGUGGAUUAAUUCGAUGCAACGCGAAAAACCUUACCUACCCUUGACAUGGUCGGAAUCCCGCUGAGAGGUGGGAGUGCUCGAAAGAGAACCGGCGCACAGGUGCUGCAUGGCUGUCGUCAGCUCGUGUCGUGAGAUGUUGGGUUAAGUCCCGCAACGAGCGCAACCCUUGUCCUUAGUUGCUACGCAAGAGCACUCUAAGGAGACUGCCGGUGACAAACCGGAGGAAGGUGGGGAUGACGUCAAGUCCUCAUGGCCCUUAUGGGUAGGGCUUCACACGUCAUACAAUGGUCGGAACAGAGGGUUGCCAACCCGCGAGGGGGAGCUAAUCCCAGAAAACCGAUCGUAGUCCGGAUUGCACUCUGCAACUCGAGUGCAUGAAGCUGGAAUCGCUAGUAAUCGCGGAUCAGCAUGCCGCGGUGAAUACGUUCCCGGGUCUUGUACUCACCGCCCGUCAA